UACGAAGGGGGCUAGCGUUGCUCGGAAUCACUGGGCGUAAAGCGCACGUAGGCGGAUUGUUAAGUCAGGGGUGAAAUCCUGGAGCUCAACUCCAGAACUGCCUUUGAUACUGGCGAUCUCGAGUCCGGGAGAGGUGAGUGGAACUGCGAGUGUAGAGGUGAAAUUCGUAGAUAUUCGCAAGAACACCAGUGGCGAAGGCGGCUCACUGGCCUGAUACUGACGCUGAGGUGCGAAAGCGUGGGGAGCAAACAGG
rnacentral:rRNA from 1 species